CGAUGAUCACUCGUUGUUGGCAACACACAGUCAGUGACCAAGCGAAAGCGAUAAGUGAUCCACCUGGGGAGUACGACCGCAAGGUUGAAACUCAAAGGAAUUGACGGGGGCCCGCACAAGCGGUGGAGCAUGUGGUUUAAUUCGAUGAUACGCGAGGAACCUUACCUGGGCUCAAAUGCAAAAUGACGUUUCGGGAAACCGGAAUUUCUUCGGACAUUUUGCAAGGUGCUGCAUGGUUGUCGUCAGCUCGUGCCGUGAGGUGUCGGGUUAAGUCCCAUAACGAGCGCAACCCCUAUCAUUAGUUGCCAUCAGGUAAAGCUGGGGACUCUAAUGAAACUGCCUACGCAAGUGGAGAGGAAGGUGGGGAUGACGUCAAAUCAGCACGGCCCUUACGUCCAGGGCUACACACGUGCUACAAUGGCCGGUACAGAGGGCAGCCACCACGCGAGUGGGAGCGAAUCUCGAAAGCCGGUCUCAGUUCGGAUCGAAGUCUGCAACCCGACUUCGUGAAGCUGGAAUCGCUAGUAAUCGCGCAUCAGCCAUGGCGCGGUGAAUACGUUCCCGGGCCUUGUACACACCGCCCGUCAAGCCAUGGAAGCUGGGGGUACCUGAAGUCGGUAACCGUUAAGGAGCCGCCUAGGGUAAAACUAGUGACUGGGGCUAAGUCGUAACAAGGUA
rnacentral:rRNA from 1 species